UGGCUCAGAUGGUAAAGCAUCUGCCUACAAUGCAGGAGACCCGGGUUCAAUCCCUGG
rnacentral:tRNA from 1 species